GAUGAACGCUGACAGCAUGCUUAACACAUCAGCGAUGGAUUGGUGGCGGACGGGUGAGUAACGCGUACAGAACUUGCCUCACAGGUAGGGACAACAUUUGGAAACGAAUGCUAAUACCUAAUACUGUGAGAGAGUUUUGGGUCCCAUUAGCUAGUUGGUGAGGUAACGGCUCACCAAGGCGAUGAUGGGUAGCCGGACUGAGAGGGUGAUCGGCCAAAAGGGGACUGGGACACGGCCCUUACGCCUACAGGAGGAAGCAGUGAAGAAUAUUGGACAAUGGACCAAAGUCUGAUACAGCAAUUCGGUGUGCACGAUGAAGUUUUCGGAAUGUAAAGUGCUUUCAGUAUGGAAGCGGUACCAACAGAAGAAGUGACGGCUAAAUACGUGCCAGCAGCCGCGGUAAUAC
rnacentral:rRNA from 1 species